AUGCCUACUUCUUGGGAUGUGACUUUUGUUGAGUCCAUCUUCUUCGGCCUUUUAAGUGGAGUAUAUCUCUUUCCACAGUUUUCCCGACACUCUUCUCUGAUUAUUGUAGAACCAACGCCAUCAUCUCCUAUGAUUUCCUCACCUCACUUAUCACAUGAUUCUACACCUUCAUCACUGGUGGCUUCCUUGUCUCCAUCACCUAAGUUUAUCCCGAUGAUUCCAGCUCGUAUUCUUCCAUCUUUUCCUAACUUCUAUAUAGGACAUCUACGUGUUGUGGAUGCGUCUACCGAUGUGCCAUCUUCCCCAUUUCAGCCUACUUAUGGCUUGCGUCCUCGUCCGCUUUGGCAUGUUGACCGCCAAUGUCUUCCAAGCGUUGGCGAUGCUGUUCUUGAGCCAACUUCUUACUGUGAUGUUGUUCAUACCAAAUGGCACCUUGUGAUGGCAGAGGAGACUGCUGCUCUUGAGCGCAUCGGCACGUGGGAUAUUGUGUAUGUUCCUCCUCGUGUUCAUCCCAUCACUUUGUGGGUCUACAAGGUUAGGACUCACUCUAAUGGUUCUCUUGGGCGUUACAAAGCUCGUGUUGUGGGUCAUGGCUUUCAGCACGAGCAUGGUCCUGAUUACGAUGAGACUUUCUUUGACCACUGUUCGCACACUUCUUAUUAUGGCCUCUGUUCGCCACUGAUCUGUGUCUAG
rnacentral:rRNA from 1 species